UACAAGAUAUCGUGUGCUUGUCCAAGACUGAAAUAUUACAUAGGAGAAACAGGAAGGAAAUUGGAAAUAUGGUUAAAAGAACAUGAAGCUGCUAUUAGGUUAAAAAGACAAGAAUCGCCGUGCAUAUGCAAAUGUUAUAAAUCUGAAUACCAGAAUGAAUGUAGAUGCAUGCUGGGAAGAGAUCACCCAGCAUAAAAAGAUCAACAACCGGCAGUUCAUUGUAGCCACUGAUGAGGCUUGACUGUAAAAAAGCAAAAUGCAUUUGGAUUAUUUGAAUUUUUUGAGAAUGGAAUUAUUGGCAAUAAAGGUUUAGUAUUUCUUUGUUA